GUGGGGAAUCUUGCGCAAUGGGCGAAAGCCUGACGCAGCCAUGCCGCGUGAAUGAUGAAGGUCUUAGGAUUGUAAAAUUCUUUCACCGGGGACGAUAAUGACGGUACCCGGAGAAGAAGCUCCGGCUAACUUCGUGCCAGCAGCCGCGGUAAUACGAAGGGGGCUAGCGUUGCUCGGAAUUACUGGGCGUAAAGGGCGCGUAGGCGGACAGCUUAGUCAGAGGUGAAAGCCCAGGGCUCAACCUUGGAAUUGCCUUUGAUACUGGCUGUCUUGAGUUUGGGAGAGGUGAGUGGAACUCCGAGUGUAGAGGUGAAAUUCGUAGAUAUUCGGAAGAACACCAGUGGCGAAGGCGACUCACUGGCCCAAUACUGACGCUGAGGCGCGAAAGCGUGGGGAGCAAACAGGAUUAGAAACCCCGGUAGUCC
rnacentral:rRNA from 1 species